UGAGGAAUAUUGGGCAAUGCCCGCAAGGGUGACCCAGCAACGCCGCGUGGAGGAUGAAUGUCGUAAGAUUGUAAACUCCUGUUAGAGGGGAAGAAUAGUACCGGUUGGACCGGUAUAUGACUGUACCCUCAGAGAAAGCCCCGGCUAACUACGUGCCAGCAGCCGCGGUACUACGUAGGGGGCAAGCGUUGUCCGGAUUUACUGGGGGUAAAGGGCGCGCAGGCGGGAUAAAAAGUCAGUGGUGAAAUCCUACAGCUUAACUGUAGAAAUGCCUUUGAUACUUUUAUUCUUGAGUUCGGGAGAGGGAGACGGAAUUCCGGGUGGAGUAGUGAAAUACGUAGAUAUCUGGAAGAACACCAGUUGCGAAGGCGGUCUCUUGGUCCGACACUGACGCUGAGGCGCGAAAGCGUGGGGAGCAAACA
rnacentral:rRNA from 1 species